rnacentral:tRNA from 1 species
GACAUAGAAGUAAAAUUUACAUAUAGUUUCGACCUAUAAAAUUAAAGAUAACCCUUUCAUGUCU